CGGUCCUCGUAAGAUCACCGAAGUUCAGCAACGUAGGGACUAGUUAGUACCUAGAUGCGUGACCACUUGGGAUUACCGGGGGCUGUAAG